rnacentral:lncRNA from 1 species
GUCAUACAAUGAAGCUCUGGGAGAGAGUCAUUGAGCAUAGAUGAGGCAAGAGAUACGGGUUUCGAACAACCAAUUCGGGUUCAUGCCAGGGCGCUCAACCAUGGAGGCAAUCUAUCUCUUACGAAGAUUGAUGGAAAGAUAUAGAGAUGGGAAAAAGGAUUUACACAUGGUCUUUAUAGAUUUGGAAAAAGCGUAUGAUAGGGUCCCAAGAGACAUUCUUUGGAGGAUUUUAGAGAAGAAAGGAGUACGAGUAGGAUAUAUCCAAGCUAUAAAUGAUAUGUAUGAAGGAGCAAAUACUGCCGUAAGAACUCAUGAAGGACAAACUGAAAGCUUCCCCAUAACUGUAGGAUUACAUCAAGGCUCAUCCUUAAGUCCUUACCUUUUUGCGUUGGUAAUGGAUGAGUUAACAGGACAUAUUCAAGAUGAUAUUCCUUGGUGUAUGCUUUUCGCAGACAAUAUAGUGUUGGUAGAUGAAACUCAGGAAGGGGUAAAUGCGAAGCUUAACCUUUGGAGAGAAGUGUUGGAAUCUAAAGGUCUUCGCCUAAGCCGAUCAAAGACAGAAUAUAUGGAGUGCAAGUUCAGUGCAAAUGGAGGCCAAAAUGAAUUAGGGGUGAGGAUCGGAGAUCAGGAAAUACCAAAGAGCGACCGUUUUCGCUACCUAGGAUAUAUCUUGCAAAAGAACGGAGAAUUAGAUGGAGAUCUCAACCAUAGAAUACAAGCUGGAUGGAUGAAGUGGAAGAGUGCAUCCGGCGUGUUGUGUGAUCGUCGUAUGUCACUGAAGCUCAAGGGAAAAUUUUAUAGGACGGCAAUAAGGUCAGCGAUGCUGUAUGGCACAUAAUGUUGGGCGGUGAAGCAUCAACACGUACACAAAAUGGGUGUAGUGGAGAUGAGGAUGCUUCGUUGGAUGUGUGGGCACAUGAGAAAGGAUAAGAUUAGGAAUGAGGAUAUCCAAGGUAAAGUAGGAGUAGCCGAAAUUGUAGGAAAGCUGAGAGAAAAUCGGUUACGGUGGUUUGGACAUGUGCAAAGAAGGCCUACUGACGCUUCGGUUAGAAGAUGCGACUACGGGACAGAGGUUCAGGGCCGAAGGGGUAGAGGAAGACCUAGGAAAACUUUGGAAGAGACUCUAAGAAAAGACUUAGAGUACUUGAAUCUAACGGAGGACAUGACACAAGACCGAGCACAAUGGCGUUCUAAGAUUCAUAUAGCCGACCUCACUCAGUGACUUGGAUUUUUCAAGUCUCCAACCGAGAAGUUUUCCUCACUAAAGAAAUUAAGGGAACACUACCUCAACCUACAUGCUCCACUCACAAAGCUUCAACAUACAAGCUUCAACAAAAGAAAAAUUCAAAGAACUUAGUGAAAAAGGCUUUGGUGUAUUUAACACAAUACGUUGAAAUGAAACAAAGCUUAUUUAUUGAUAUCUUCGAUAAGUUACAAAUAUGUACAUAUACAUGAGUCAAAAUAAACAAACAAGAGGGAGCCUUUACAAAGGUUGCUUAGGAGAAAUCUCAGCAGUCGGUAGAGCCCAAGAAAGAGAAGGCACCGGAGAAGGAUUAUUCGGAGCCUCAGUACUGGACAGAACCUUAGAAGGAGGAGGCAUCGGAGGUUGAUCAUUUGGAGCUUCAUUACGCGGUACAGCCCCAGAAGACGAAGGCAAUAAAUGCCUUUGGAACAAGCCCACAAACCUCUGAUGAUCAUGUAAAAUCUGACCAUCAGAUUCCUUCAUCUAGUCAAGCUUCCUCUUCAUGUUUGUAGCAUAGUCAUGUGCGAGCCGGUGCAAUUCUUUAUUCUCAUGCUUGAGCCCUCUAAUCUCCUGUUUGAGACUCAUCACUUAAGCCGCCAAUGAUUCAACUUACCGGGUUCGAGCAAAUAGGCGUUGGGCCAUAUUAGACACAGAACCUGCACACUGAACACUGAGAGCCAGAGAAUCCUUAACAGCCAACUCAUCAGACCGUUUGGAAAGUAGUAUGUUAUCUUUGGGAGUGAGAAGGUUCCUGGCCACCACCGUAGUGGUCAUAUCAUUCUUCAUCACGGAAUCCCCAACGGUAAGAGGACCAGUAAGGGAUAAGAAGGAUGGGCGCCAUAUGUUGUCUGGAGAAGGCGUGGCUGCCUCUUCAACAAGGUUCAAGUCAAAACGACGAUCGGAGGGGCCAGACAUUUUCAAAGGUGUUGAAGAGAGAAGAGGUCGGACAAAUCAAGAUCUUAGAAAUGCAAGAAUGGAGCUUCUACUGGUGGAGAUUCAAGUGUGCUUUGGAACUUAAUGCCAGCCUCUAUAAAAAUCUGCACUCGACGGAGCUUCAGAAAUCGAAGAGGCACCUGCUUAGAAAUUGAAAAGGCGUUUGCUUUCUCAAAAGUUGGGCUGCUCAGAGACCACGAGGGCCGAUCUCAGAAAUCGAAGAGGCGUUUGCUUUCUCAAAAGCGGGGCUGCUCAAAGACCACGAAGGCCGAUCGCAGAAAUCGAAGAUGCGCUUGCUUUCUCAAAAGAUGGGUUGCUCAAAGACCACGAGGGCCGAUCUCAGAAAUCGAAGAUGCACUUGUUUUUUCAGCCUUGUCAGCACCUGUCACAUGCACACUCAACUUUGCGGAAAUUACGGUCAUUCUGUCGAAGAUUUCUGGUAAAGCACGUUAAUGUUACUGUUCAAUCAUCCACUUUCCACACGCAACAUCAGCUCACGAGUACCACAGAUAACUUUGCCAAAGAUCUCUGACAAAGUUUAGACACGUGAAGCUUGCAGCUCCCAUUACAUCACUAUGACCAAGAAGGGUAAAAGAAUAGCAAAGAAACAGCACUAACAAAGUUUAGACACAUAAAUUUUGAAGAUCUAGCUACCAUAUUAUUACCUACAAGGGUAAAGGAACAGGACCACUGCUGGAUAAUUGGAAAGUCCUUGUGUGUCAACCUCUGUGCUCCGUGGCAAGGUAGACUAGCAAACAGGCCCAACCUUUACUCACAUUCGAGAAAACACUCCCAACAAGAUUGCUUGUUUCAAGAUCGAAGAGGCACCGCCUUCCGAAUCUCGAGAGCCAGACUCCCAACAUGAUUACUUUCUCAAAAAUCGAAUAGACACCGCCCUCCGAAUCUCGAGAGCCAGACUCCUAGCAGGAUUGCUUUCUCAAAAAUCGAAGAGGCACCGUUCCCCGAAUCUCGAGAGACAUAUCCCUGACAGGAUUGCUUGUUCGAAAACCGAAGAGGCACCGCUUUCUGAACUUCGAGAGCCAGAUCUCCUUGGAUAAAGCUUGUCUGUAAUCUUCGCACGCAACAUCAGCUUUCCAGAUACCACAGACCACUGUUUCAAAGUGCUCUGACAGAGUUAAAACACAUGAAGCUGGCAGCUCCCACUAUCGUGCUAUGACCAAGCAGGGUAAAGGAAUAACAUUACUACUUGUUGUUAGGGAGACUCCUAUAUAUGUCGACCUCCAUCCUCAACAGACAGGCAGACCUGCAAAAAUGCUCAACCCUUCCUCAUAUCUGAGAGGGCACUCCCAACGAAGCCUCUCAAAAUACUCAGCUUUCUUUCCCCCCGAGAAUACCUCUACAAACAAGCUACACCAGAGCAAGAAUAUCUCAUAUCAUCAAGGUUAAAAGCAAGAGUAUCCCAUAUCAUGCUUUUUCCCUGUCUUUUCCUUUGGCCUUGUUCUUACCUGCAAGACAAGGAGAAAGAGAGCAAUCAGUCAGCACUUGGAAUCAAGCUUCCAGUCAGGAACUGACUACCUGGAACCCCUUACUUGAUUACUUACCUGGCAUUGUUCUCGAGUACUCAUCUUCAACAUCUUAUGCUUCUAGAGAAGAUACCACAUCUGCCUGAGGAACAGAUAGGGCAAGUGAGAAGGGUACAAGGAAGCAUGUGGAGACAAGCGUAACAGAACACGUGCCAAUACAUCCACUACUUUGUCAACAGCAAAAGUAUCCCAUAUCAGUAGGGUCGAACGUACUCUAGAUUUGAUGGACUUGUUUUGACCCUCAAAUUCUUCAGUCGACCUUAUACUCUGGAGGAAACCAGAAAACCCUCCAGCCCAGUUCAAGAAUAAGCCUGUGGAAAGUUACUUUUUCAAAAGCAAAAUAUCUCAUAUCACCUCUUCUCCUUUUCUUCUCUUUAUCCUUCAUGCUGCCUGCAAGAUAGGGAGAAUGAAAACAAUCAGCCGGAACUCGAAAUCAAACUUCUGAUCUGGGACUGAUUGCUUGGAGCUCUGAUUGCUUACCUUAUCUGUCAAAUCUUUCAGCAGAUCCCCUAGCUCGGCAACUUGAGGGACUCCUAAUACAUGGUUUGUAUCGCGCUUGACCAAACCUGAAACUACAAGUAAGCUUCAAGUGAAAUUGAUACAUUACCUUGUGCAUCUCCACCAGUUAAAGAUACCACCCCUGGAUGGAGGAAGAGUACUUCCAGAGAAGAUGCCAUAUCUACCUAUGAGACAGAUAAGGCAAGUGAAGACGAUACCAAACUUUGGUACUUAGAAGUUUCGUGAUUACGAGAUCAUUCUCCCACAAUAUUUUCUAAUGUCAUUUGUACUAAAUCAUUCACUUGUACUCACUAAAGGAGAGCUUGAACCUAUGUACUGUGUAAACCCUUCACAAUUAAUGAGAACUCAUCUACACCGUGGACGUAGCCAAUCUGGAUGAACCACGUACAUCUUGUGUUUGCUUUCCUGUCUCUAUCCAUUUACAUACUUAUCUACACUAAUGACCGGAGCAAUCUAGCGAAGAUCACAAACUUAAUACUUUUUGUUGUACCAAAGUCCUCACUGCUUUUAUGCAUCAACAAUCUGUAAGUCCUUACCUUUUUGCGUUGGUAAUGGAUGAGUUAACAGGACAUAUUUAAGAUGAUAUUCCUUGGUGUAUGCUUUUCGCAAACGAUAUAGUGUUGAUAAAUGAAACUCAGGAAGGGGUAAAUGCGAAGCUUAACCUUUGCAGAUAAGUGUUGGAAUCUAAAGGUCUUCGUCUAAGCCGAUCAAAGACAGAAUAUAUGGAGUGCAAGUUCAGUGCAAACGGAGGCCAAAAUGAGUUAGGGGUGAGGAUCGGAGAUCAGGAAAUACCAAAGAGCGACCGUUUUCGCUACCUAGGAUCUAUCUUGCAAAAGAACGGAGAAUUUGAUAGAGAUCUCAAUCAUAGAAUACAAGCUGGAUGGAUAAAGUGGAAGAAUACAUCUGGCGUGUUGUGUGACCGUUGUAGGCCACUGAAGCUCAAGAGAAAAUUUUAUAGGAUGGCAAUAAGGCCGGUGAUGCUAUAUGGCACAGAAUGUUGGGCGGUGAAGCAUCAACACGUAGGUGUAGCGGAGAUGAGGAUGCUUCGUUGGAUGUGUGGGCACACGAGAAAUGAUAAGAUUAGGAAUGAGGAUAUCCGAGGUAAAGUAGGAGUAGCCGAAAUUGAAGGAAAGAUGAGAGAAAAUCGGUUACGGUGGUUUGGACAUGUGCAAAGAAGGCCUACUGACGCUCCGGUUCGAAUAUGUGAUUAUGGGACAGAGGUUCAGGGCCAAAGGGCUAGAGGAAGACCUAGGAAAACUUUGGAAGAGACCCUAAGAAAAGACUUAGAGUACU